rnacentral:rRNA from 1 species
GAUGAACGCUGGCGGCGUGCUUAACACAUGCAAGUCGAACGAAGCACUUUAAUGGAUUUCUUUCGGGAAUGAAGGAGAAGUGACUUAGUGGCGGACGGGUGAGUAACGCGUGGGUAACCUGCCUUAUACAGGGGGAUAACAGUUGGAAACGACUGCUAACACCGCAUAAGCGCACAGUGUCGCAUGACACAGUGUGAAAAUAUUCAUAGGUAUAAGAUGGACCCGCGUCUGAUUAGCUAGUUGGUGAGGUAAUGGCUCACCAAGGCGACGAUCAGUAGCCGGCUUGAGAGAGUGAACGGCCACAUUGGGACUGAGACACGGCCCAAACUCCUACGGGUGGCUG